rnacentral:tRNA from 1 species
GACUAGGUAGCAAAACGGUUAUGCAUGGGAUUGCAAAUCCUAAAAUAUUGGUUCGAAUCCAAUUCUAGUCU